UCCCUGGUAGUAUAUCGGUUAGUACACGCGCCUGUCAUUUUCAUCUUACCGCGCGAAAGCUGGGUUCGACUCCCAGCCAGGGAG